GACGAACGCUGGCGGCGUGCUUAACACAUGCAAGUCGAACGGAAAGGCCCUGCUUUUGUGGGGUGCUCGAGUGGCGAACGGGUGAGUAACACGUGAGUAACCUGCCCUUGACUUUGGGAUAACUUCAGGAAACUGGGGCUAAUACCGGAUAGGAGCUCCUGCUGCAUGGUGGGGGUUGGAAAGUUUCGGCGGUUGGGGAUGGACUCGCGGCUUAUCAGCUUGUUGGUGGGGUAGUGGCUUACCAAGGCUUUGACGGGUAGCCGGCCUGGGAGGGUGACCGGCCACAUUGGGACUGAGAUACGGCCCAGACUCCUACGGGAGGCAGCAGUGGGGAAUAUUGCACAAUGGGCGGAAGCCUGAUGCAGCAACGCCGCGUGCGGGAUGACGGCCUUCGGGUUGUAAACCGCGUUCGCCUGUGACGAAGCGUGAGUGACGGUAAUGGGUAAAGAAGCACCGGCUAACUACGUG
rnacentral:rRNA from 1 species